rnacentral:rRNA from 1 species
UACGUAGGGGGGCUAGCGUUGUCCGGAAUCAUUGGGCGUAAAGCGCGUGUAGGCGGUCCGGUAAGUCCGCUGUGAAAGUCGAGGGCUCAACCCUCGAAUGCCGGUGGAUACUGUCGGGCUUGAGUACGGGAGAGGCGAGUGGAAUUCCUGGUGUAGCGGUGAAAUGCGCAGAUAUCAGGAGGAACACCGAUUGCGAAGGCAGCUCGCUGGAACGUUACUGACGCUGAGGCGACGAAGCGUGGGGAGCAAACAGG